AGUCGAACGAACUUCCGUUAAUUGAUUAUGACGUGCUUGCACUGAAUGAGAUUUUAACACGAAGUGAGUGGCGGACGGGUGAGUAACACGUGGGUAACCUGCCCAGAAGCAGGGGAUAACACCUGGAAACAGAUGCUAAUACCGUAUAACAGAGAAAACCGCCUGGUUUUCUUUUAAAAGAUGGCUCUGCUAUCACUUCUGGAUGGACCCGCGGCGCAUUAGCUAGUUGGUGAGGUAACGGCUCACCAAGGCGAUGAUGCGUAGCCGACCUGAGAGGGUAAUCGGCCACAUUGGGACUGAGACACGGCCCAGACUCCUACGGGAGGCAGCAGUAGGGAAUCUUCCACAAUGGACGCAAGUCUGAUGGAGCAACGCCGCGUGAGUGAAGAAGGGUUUCGGCUCGUAAAGCUCUGUUGUUAAAGAAGAACGUGGGUGAGAGUAACUGUUCACCCAGUGACGGUAUUUAACCAGAAAGCCACGGCUAACUACGUGCCAGCAGCCGCGGUAAUACGUAGGUGGCAAGCGUUAUCCGGAUUUAUUGGGCGUAAAGCGAGCGCAGGCGGUCUUUUAAGUCUAAUGUGAAAGCCUUCGGCUCAACCGAAGAAGUGCAUUGGAAACUGGGAGACUUGAGUGCAGAAGAGGACAGUGGAACUCCAUGUGUAGCGGUGAAAUGCGUAGAUAUAUGGAAGAACACCAGUGGCGAAGGCGGCUGUCUGGUCUGUAACUGACGCUGAGGCUCGAAAGCAUGGGUAGCGAACAGGAUUAGAUACCCUGGUAGUCCAUGCCGUAAACGAUGAUUACUAAGUGUUGGAGGGUUUCCGCCCUUCAGUGCUGCAGCUAACGCAUUAAGUAAUCCGCCUGGGGAGUACGACCGCAAGGUUGAAACUCAAAAGAAUUGACGGGGGCCCGCACAAGCGGUGGAGCAUGUGGUUUAAUUCGAAGCUACGCGAAGAACCUUACCAGGUCUUGACAUCUUCUGCCAACCUAAGAGAUUAGGCGUUCCCUUCGGGGACAGAAUGACAGGUGGUGCAUGGUUGUCGUCAGCUCGUGUCGUGAGAUGUUGGGUUAAGUCCCGCAACGAGCGCAACCCUUAUUACUAGUUGCCAGCAUUCAGUUGGGCACUCUGGUGAGACUGCCGGUGACAAACCGGAGGAAGGUGGGGACGACGUCAAAUCAUCAUGCCCCUUAUGACCUGGGCUACACACGUGCUACAAUGGAUGGUACAACGAGUCGCGAAACCGCGAGGUUUAGCUAAUCUCUUAAAACCAUUCUCAGUUCGGACUGUAGGCUGCAACUCGCCUACACGAAGUCGGAAUCGCUAGUAAUCGCGGAUCAGCAUGCCGCGGUGAAUACGUUCCCGGGCCUUGUACACACCGCCCGUCACACCAUGAGAGUUUGUAACACCCAAAGCCGGUGGGGUAACCU
rnacentral:rRNA from 1 species